rnacentral:rRNA from 1 species
GACGAACGCUGGCGGCGUGCUUAAUACAUGCAAGUCGAACGGAAAGGCCCUGCUUUUGCUGGGUUCUUGAUUGGCGAACGGGUGCGUAUCACGUGUGUAUCCUGUCCCUGACUUUCGGAUAACACUUGGGAACUGGGGCUAUUAUCGGAGAUGAUCUUUUGCUGCACGGUGGUCGUUGGAAAAUUUCGGCGGUUGGGGAUGGACUCGCUGGUUAUCAGCUAGUUUGUCUGGUUGGUGCUGACCAAGGCUUUGACGGGUAGGCGGCCUGGGAGGGUGACCGGCCACAUUGGGCCUGAGAUAGGGACCAGAAGCCAACCGGAGGCAGCAGUGGGGAAUAUUGCGCAAUGGGCGGAAGCCUGAGGUAGCAGCGCCGCGUGCGGGAUGACGGCCUUCGGGUUAUAAACCGCUUUCGACUGUGACGAAGCGAGAGUGACGGUAAUGGGUCAAAAAGCACCGGCUAACUACGUG